GGGAGCGCAUCAAGACAGAGUUCUUCAACUACCUAUGCCACAAUGAUUGUGAAGAUAGCGAUGAUCAUGGCUUGAAAAAACAUCGAAUUGAGUGAGUGGAAUUUAAGAUGACCUCAUCAGAUGUUGUGUAAGAGUAACGGAUUAAGGAAACAAAGUAGCGGGUACUAAGGAGGCAUGCUGUGAAUAUUUAUCUGAUAGCCCUUUUGAAUGGUGGCACAAGGUGCUUGCUUCUUAUUCAUGCGGGAUGGAAGAGUGAGCAAUCUUUUCCUCAAAUGGUUCACAGCAUAUAUAUGGAGGUAGCAAGAAUGGCUUUAUAAAUAUAUGGAUCUACGUGGUGGAGGAUCAUUAGUUUCUUUUCAAAAUUACAAGGAGGUUGUUUAUCUUUUAUGAUUUUAUCAAUUUCAAAGAGAGUUGU